UCUAAUUUAUUCACUGUCUCACAAUUUUUAUAUCUAUGGUUGUUGUCCGAUCGAAUCAGGAAGGGUUGUAUAUAGAAACAUAAUCUUCUGGUUCACUGUGCAUCAUUUAGAGUUUCCAAUGUCCAAUGUCCAAUGUCCAAGGGUUGUAUAUAAAAAUAUAAUUAAUAGUUAAAAAUAACUAAAAAUUAAAAUAAUUAAAAAAAUAAUUAAAAAACCUCCAUCAUCAUUCGUCCCUAAUAACCCAAUCUCCAAACCCUAAAUCCCCCAACUCCCAAACAUAAUCCCCCCAAUCUAUUUGAAACCCCCUUCUCCAAACCCCAAAAAUCAAGCACCUCAACACAAGCUCAACCAAAAAAAUCAACCUAAACCAUAACACACCCACAAACCCAAUCGACAAAACCCACCAGCGCUUUUCCACCAUUGGCUCUGUUCCUCUUCUCAGAAGCCAAAGUUGGCAUCUUUUCCUCAUCGUCAUCUCUCUUGCAACUCGCCAAGAACAGAGACAUGAGCGAGGUCGACGUGUGAGGUUUUUGACCGCAGUCUCAUGGUCAAAGUGGGAGGGUGGGGAGUGGGGGGUGGGGGUCGUGGGUUCUGGCAUCAAUCCCAUAAUUCUCUUUUUUUUUUUCUUUCUUUUUUGAGCAUCGAUCUUGGUUUUCCUUUUAUAUAAAAAAACCAAGCUCAGUGUUGGAUGGAGGAAGCUCCCCAUGGUUUGAAGUUGGAACCUCCUUUCCAGUUUUAGACAAAAGCAAACACCAAAAAGUAGAGCUCCAGGGAUAUCAUUUAGAAACCACUGAGUUUUUUUUUUUUUUUUUUUUGGGUUUUCUAUCUCUCUGAUCCUCCGGUCCAGCAAGGUAAUUUGUGGGUUUAUGGGCUGGUGGGAUGGUGUUGUUGGUGCUGCAGAGAUGAUGAUGGAGGGAUGACGUUGUAGAGAUGGUGUUGUUGGUACUGUAGAGAUGAUGAUGUGGUUGUAGAGAUGGUGCUGUAGAGAUGAUAAUCAUGGAGGAUUUUUAAUUAUUUCAAUUUUUUUUUCUGAUUUAUUUGAAUUUUUAGUUAUUUUUAAAUAUUAAAAUAUUUAAUUAUGUUUUUAUCUAUGUGGAGGCGGCUCCACUUGCCACAUCAUCCAUCUAAUUGAUGGAUAAUAAUCUACGUGUACGAAUGAAAUUGACGAUAAGGUACAAAGUGAAUCACCAAACUUGGUGAAACAAAGAUGAGAUUUGAACAUAAUUUCGGGGUGUAAAUAAGUCUUAUAAAAACACGUUAACAAAGACUUCCAAGUCAAAAAGAAAAAAGAAAAAAAAGGACAAAUCUUUCACACUUCAGUCCUUGCUUUGGACAACAACUGCCUCUUUAUGCAUCGAACAUUUGUUUUUUUUCAUUGAAUGGAAUUUAUACUAUUAAACAGCUAGCAGAGUUUCCCAUAUAUAUAUAUAUAUAUAUUUCUGUAUCAAACAACAGAGUUUGGUACAUCUUGAUUCCUAUCAUUCAUUAGCCAUAGGCAUAGGCGCAUCACCCAACCCUACACCUCUGUAUAGAGUCAAUGACAUAUGAGUGAAGGCAAUUAUGUUCCUUUACCUAUGAAGGUGUCAAGUUUUCAUGAAAUUUUGUAUGGAAUGGGAGCAAGUUGUUUGACAAAAUGCCUCAAAGAAGACAACCUGCUCUACUGCUCUAAAUCUUUUCAUUCUUCUCUUUGGGCCGUGCAAUAGAGAAACUAGGUAGAAGCUUAGUGUUCUUCUAUGCAACCAAUGCGUACCAGAAAAACCGAUGAAGCCUCCUCUUCAUCCUCAUCAUCCUCCUCCUCAAAACGUUGGAGGUACGACGUGUUCAUAAGCUUUAGAGGCGAAGACACACGCAAAAACUUCACAGGCCACCUCUACGUGGCACUAAAAGAGGCUGGAAUCAACACGUUUAUUGAUGAUGAUGAGUUAAGAAGAGGGGAAGAUAUAGGAGCCGAACUUGUGCGGGCAAUCCAAGGGUCUAGGAUCUCUGUCAUCAUCUUCUCCAGCCGGUAUGCGGAUUCUGGAUGGUGUCUUGAGGAGCUGGUUAAGAUCAUGGAGUGUAAAAGAACACUUGGGCAAAUAGUUUUGCCAAUAUUCUAUGAUGUUGAUCCCUCAGAUGUCAGGAAACAGACUGGUAGUUUUGCACAAUCAUUUCAUAAACACAGAGAUACAGAUCAUAAUAAGGUACAGAGGUGGAGAGCUGCUCUUCAUGAAGCUGCAAAUUUAUCUGGCUGGGAUCUUAGAAACACUCUGGAUGGGCAUGAAGCAAAUUUUAUAAGGAAUAUCAUUAAGGAGAUCACUAGACGAUUUAACAACACCUACUUACAUGUAGCCCCCUACCAAGUUGGAAUAGAUUUUCGCGUGCAAGCUAUCAGUGAAUGUUUGGGCGUUGGAUUCGAUGAUGUUCGCAUAAUAGGAAUUUCUGGUAUGGGCGGAAUGGGUAAAACAACAGUUGCAAAAGCCAUAUAUAACGAAUUUUACGAUAGGUUUGAUGGUAAAAGUUUCCUUGAAAGGGUGAGGGAAAAGCAACUGGUUGGCCUGCAAAAACAACUUCUUUCUGAUAUCUUGAAACCAACCAAGAUAAAGGUAAGUAGUGUUGCUGAAGGGAUCAAUGUGAUAGGAAAAAGGCUUGGAAGCUUAAAGGUACUUCUCAUAGUUGACGAUAUAGAUAGUGUGGAGCAGCUAGAUGCUUUAGCUAUAAAACAUGACACCUUUGGUCAAGGGAGUAGAAUUAUUAUAACAACAAGAGAUGAACAUUUGCUAAAUACACUUGAAGUUGACCAGAUAUAUCGAGUGCAACCAAUGGAAGAAGAAGAAGCUCUUGAGCUACUUAGCUGGCAUGCCUUUAAAAAUGGUUCUCCUAAUCAAGGAUAUUUCAAGCUCGCAAGAGAAGUUGUUGAUUACUGUGGAGGAUUGCCACUGGCUCUUCAAGUUUUAGGUUGUUUUUUGGGUACAAGAAGCAUAGGAGAAUGGGAAAGUACAUUGGGUAAAUUGGAAAAAAUUCCUUGUCAUGAAAUUCAUAAUCAGCUCAAAAUAAGCUAUGAUGGGCUAAGUGAUGACUACGAGAGGGAUAUAUUCCGUGAUAUAGCUUGUUUCUUUAUUGGAAUGGACAAAAACUAUGUCACACAAAUAUUGGAUGGUUGUGGCUUUUUUGCGGAAAUAGGAAUCAAGGUCCUGCUUGAACGUUGCCUUGUAUUCGUUGAUGAAAAAAACAAGUUGAUGAUGCAUGAUUUGCUUCGAGACAUGGGCAGAGAAAUCGAGCGUGCAGAGUCUCCUAAGUAUCCUGGAAAACGGAGUAGAUUGUGGCAUCCUGAAGAUGUAAAAUCAGUAUUGAUAAACAAAUCUGGAACUGAAGAAAUUGAAGGACUUGCUUUAAAUUUGCCAAGUAUUGAAGAGACUAGUUUCAGUACAGAAGCAUUUACAAAUAUGAAGCGACUGAGAUUGCUCAAACUCAACUACGUGCAGCUCACUGGAGAAUACAAAUAUCUUUCCAAAAAUUUGAGAUGGCUCUGCUGGUAGGAUUUCCUCUAGAGUUCAUACCAAAGGACUUGUGUCAGACAAACAUAGUUGCUAUUGACAUGCAAUAUACCAGCCUCAGACAAGUUCUUUGUACGGAUUCGGAGCUGCUUGAGAAGUUGAAGAUUCUAAAUCUCAGUCAUUCUCAUUACUUAAGACAAUCACCAGACUUUUCAAAACUCCCAAAUCUUGAGAACUUGAUACUCAAAGAUUGUAAGAGUUUGUCCAAGGUUCACAAGUCCAUUGGGGAUCUCAAAAAUCUUACUUUGGUAAAUUUGAAAGACUGCCAAAUGCUUAAGGGUCUCCCAAAGAGUUUCUAUAAGUUGAAAUCUGUUAGAACUCUUGUUCUUAAUGGUUGUUCACGAUUUGAAAUCUUGGAUGAGAAGUUAGGGAAGCUGGUAUCAUUGACAACUUUUCUUGCAGAUAAGACAGCUAUAACAAGCGUACCAUCUUCCAUAGUACGUCUGAAGAAGCUUGAACAAUUGUCUCUAUGUGAACUGAAACGGUCUUUGCAGCUACCUCCUUCGUUACAGGGUUUGUGCUCUUUAACGCAUUUAUCUCUUAGCAACUGCAAUUUAAAUGCACUUCCUAAGGAUCUUGGGAGUAUAUUCUCAUUAAAAAGAUUAUAUCUAUCUCAAAAUAGUUUUCAUAGCCUUCCAAACCUCAGUGGCCUUCCCAACCUUACAACGCUAUCAUUGGAUGACUGUAAUUUAACUGAUGAUGCAAUUGAUUCUAUGAAUCUUGGGAGUCUAUCUUCUUUGUGCAACUUAGGCCUUCGAUACAGUCAUUUUCAUACCCUUCCAAGCCUGAGUGGCCUUGCCAAGCUUGAAAAUUUGUAUUUGGAUCAUUGCACAAACCUUCGUGAAAUCAAAGAUUUACCAACAGGUAUGGAAAACCUAUUCGCCAGUCAUUGCACUGCAUUGGAAAGAAUCCCAAAAUUUUCAGAAAUGCCACCGGAAAAUGUGGAAAUAGACAAUUCCCCCAAACUCAUUGAGUUUCCAGGCUUGGAUAAGGCGUUAAACUUGGGCAUGUCAUUAUCAAUGAAAAGGCGCAAUAAUAUCAGUGAUAUCCUUCUUGAGGAGAGCAUGCUACAGGGAUGGAAUGGACCUACUCAACUUAUUCUAGGUGGAAGUGAUAUUCCCCAGUGGUUCAAGCAUGUUGGGGAAGGUGGCCAAGUCCAUUUUGAAGUGCCUCUUGGUUGUAGUUUAACAUCAUUGGCUAUAUGCAUGGUUUAUUGUUCUUGUGAUGCCAAGUUAACUACUGCUUCCUUUUGUGUUAUUAAUCAUACCAAGUGUGCUAGUUUCGUAGCCAAAAUAAACUUCUUAGUAGCUUCCAGUGAAGAUUUUCUUUGGCUUGGACAUUUAUCAAACUAUGAGUUGAAUUUGGAAGGGGGCGACUCCGUGGAUGUUCUUGCAGAAAUUCCAGGUUUCUGGGUGAAGAAAAAAUAGGGAUCCGUCUAGUCAAUGACAAAUUUAUCAAUGAAAAGGAUUCGUUUGAUAUAUGUUAUUCCAUCCCAUACUUGAGUCCCCAAAGAAGAUUUUCUGUCGAUGUUGAUGAUGACGACGACAACAAGGACAACGAGGACAAUGAGAGUGAUGAUGAUGAUGACGAUGACGACGAGGAUGAGGAUGAGGAUAAGGAUGAUGAUGAUGACGACGACGACGACGAUGAUGAGGACCAAGACAGCACACCUCCAAAAAAUAAGGUUUGAUCCUAGUAUUGGACCUGGGUAAAGAGAAAAGGUAGACCAUUCCACUUUUCGUGCAUGGAGGGGCCAAAUGCCUAAAACAAAAAGACGUUUUGAAGUUAUAUUUUGAGAUUGAUAGCUCCCAUCAGCUAGUGUGGCUGGAAUGGUAGCAUGGUGUUUGAAAUUACUUUUUUACACUGGUGUUGUAAUUGUCAUUCUUUCUUAUUAAUGCAUUUGAAUUUUCUUUUAUUUUUAUUUUUUUAAAGAAAGAAACUCGAUUGAUCAAAUUGAUAGCACAAUCCAAAGUCCUUAUUAAUUCGAACUUUGCUGUAUCCCUUCCCCCUAUCUAAAUUGAGGCACAGAACAAUCCCCACAAUUUAUCCAUGUGAACCUGCAUGUGAAGGCUUGUAUUGUAUAUAUAGAAAAUACACAUUUUUUAUUGGUUUUCA